CAACAGAGUCAAGAACAACCGAGGCUUUCACGGCAGUGACCGAAGUAACCGUCCACGUACAAGACGUGCCUGAAGACGCCACGUUUGUAAUAAAGGUCCUAGAAAAUGCCAGGAUAGCAGCUGUGAUUGGAACUAUCAGACGACCCGGAGACAACUAUGUCUUCUUUUAUAUCGUUGGAGGCAAUAAUGACAACGCAUUUCGUCUGGAUAAACGUACGGGUGAGAUUAGCGUCGUCAAUCCACUGGACAGGGAACAGAGAGACUCCUACACUCUGGUCGUGAAGAGAACCCGGAGUGCGGAUUACGCGGUCACAAAUGUCAACAUUCCCUUCAACGAAGACGACGAAAGCCUGUUAAAGGUUGUAGUCGAAGUUGAAGACAUCAACGAUAAUA